GAUGAACGCUAGCGGCAGGCCUAAUACAUGCAAGACGAACGGUAAGUUGAGUAGCAAUACUUAGCCAAGAGUGUCGUACGGGUGCGUAACACGUAUGCAACCUACCCUAUACAGGAGGAUAGCCUAGGGAAACCUGGAUUAACCCUUCAUAGUAUUAUUGGAUGGCAUCAUUUGAUAAUUAAAACUGAGGUGGUAUAGGAUGGGCAUGCGUCUGAUUAGUUAGUUGGCGGGGUAAUGGCCCACCAAGACGAUGAUCAGUAGGGGUUCUGAGAGGAAGAUCCCCCACACUGGCACUGAGAUACGGGCCAGACUCCUACGGGAGGCAGCAGUAGGGAAUAUUGGGUCAAUGGAUGCAAGUCUGAACCAGCCAUGCCGCGUGCAGGAAGAAGGCCUUCUGGGUUGUAAACUGCUUUUGCCAGGGGGAUAAAAUUUCCAUGCGUGGAAAACUGAAGGUACCUGGUGAAUAAGCCACGGCUAACUACGUGCCAGCAGCCGCGGUAAU
rnacentral:rRNA from 1 species